rnacentral:tRNA from 1 species
GGGGAUGUACCUCAGUGGUAGAGCUCUUGCCUACCAUGAAAGAGGGCUUGGGUUUAAUCCCCAGUACCUCAA